rnacentral:rRNA from 1 species
GACGAACGCUGGCGGCGUGCUUAACACAUGCAAGUCGAACGGUAAGGCCCUUCGGGGUACACGAGUGGCGAACGGGUGAGUAACACGUGGGUGAUCUGCCCUGCACUUCGGGAUAAGCCUGGGGAACUGGGUCUAAUACCGGAUAGGACUCCUGCCUGCAUGGGUGGGGGUGGAAAGCUUUUGUGGUGUGGGAUGGGCCCGCGGCCUAUCAGCUUGUUGGUGGGGUGAUGGCCUACCAAGGCGACGACGGGUAGCCGGCCUGAGAGGGUGACCGGCCACACUGGGACUGGGAUACGGCCCAGACUCCUACGGGAGGCAGCAGUGGGGAAUAUUGCACAAUGGGCGCAAGCCUGAUGCAGCGACGCCGCGUGAGGGAUGACGGCCUUCGGGUUGUAAACCUCUUUCAGCACAGACGAAGCGCAAGUGACGGUAUGUGCUGAAGAAGGACCGGCCAACUACGUGCCAGCCGCCGCAGUAA